UCCUACGGGGGGCAGCAGUGGGGAAUAUUGGACAAUGGGCGAAAGCCUGAUCCAGCCAUGCCGCGUGUGUGAAGAAGGCCUUUUGGUUGUAAAGCACUUUAAGCGAGGAGGAGGCUACUUAGAUUAAUACUCUAGGAUAGUGGACGUUACUCGCAGAAUAAGCACCGGCUAACUCUGUGCCAGCAGCCGCGGUAAUACAGAGGGUGCGAGCGUUAAUCGGAUUUACUGGGCGUAAAGCGUGCGUAGGCGGCUUCUUAAGUCGGAUGUGAAAUCCCUGAGCUUAACUUAGGAAUUGCAUUCGAUACUGGGAAGCUAGAGUAUGGGAGAGGAUGGUAGAAUUCCAGGUGUAGCGGUGAAAUGCGUAGAGAUCUGGAGGAAUACCGAUGGCGAAGGCAGCCAUCUGGCCUAAUACUGACGCUGAGGUACGAAAGCAUGGGGAGCAAACAGGAUUAGAUACCCUAGUAA
rnacentral:rRNA from 1 species